ACAGGGCACCAAGAGACCACCUGCCCAACAGAUCUUCACUCAUUGCCUUACCAAACCUGAAAUUACCUUAGCAAAAGCAAGUAAAUGUGGCCACUCUAGGGCCCCGACCUGGAUUCCUAGCCAGACCAGCCACUGGUGCUCUCUAUCUGAUGCAGCCAGGUUGGUCUCUCUCAACCUCCCCAAACAUGCCCAUGCCUUCCUGCUCCUCUCUACCUGGGCAUGGGCUAUGCCCACCUCCAGGAGGUCCACCAUGAAGGCGUGAGCCCAGUAAUAUGGAAAUGUCUGUUAUCAGGGCCUUUAGGGUAUCCUGUGAUGGUGGGAAGGGGAUGCUAGCACGGGGCCAGGAACAGCAGGAGGUUUGAGGCUGCAUUGGAGAAGGACAGAGCUGGGCUCUUGAAUCCUAAGGCUUUCAUCUCAGGCAUGAAUCUGGUGACAUCAGGACAUUCUCCAGAGCCCAUUGGUACAGGCAGAUUAGGGCAGGUUUGAGAGAUUCUAGAAUCAGGUAGAUAGUACAUUUUGGCAUGUCUAGAUAAUUGAGCUUAGAAAUCAAGCAAUCCAGCCCCUCACUUUACAGUUAAGGAAAUGGAGGUUCAGAGAGAUUCUGAGCUCUUCCCCAUCUUACAUCUGGAAGAGGCCAGGCCAGGGCUCAGAUCCAGGGCCUUUCAUGAAGCAGCCAGGGCCACAUGCCUGGAUCACAGCUGGAAAGCUAUGCCCUAGCAGGGCUGCUGUUUGCAGCUGUUCAGGCCUUGCCUUGCUUUUUAUAGACUGAAGUAUGAGCAACACUGCCUGGGGGUGAGCAGUGCACACACUGCACCACUGUCCGGGGAGGCUCUGAGUCAGAGUCAAAGCAAAGGCCUGAGAGCUCCCAUCAGAGAGGUCCCAUCUCUUGGGCUGGGCUGGGUAUGUGGUGAAAAUGGAGGCAGGAGGGUGACUCGGAACCUGGACAGCAGUGAUGGGUCCCCAUCCAUGGACACUGGAAUUUAGGGUGGAAGACUGGCAUUUGGAAAGGCAGGCUGACUUCGCUGGACUGACAGCUGGACAGAGAGCUGGCUCGGCCUUCCUUGGUGUGGGAACUGCCUGGGAGACUCAGCAUAAAGGAGCAGAGGUGGAUCGCUCCUGCAGGCAUGUGGUUCCCAAAACAGAAAAGGGGACAGUGAGAAAACUGAGGCACAGAGAAGUUGAAAGCUGCCUAAGGUUCUGCAAUGAAUGAGUGCCACUGUCAGAAUUCCAACACAAAGGACCAGCUGCAGAGCCCAGGAUCUUAACUACUCUGCUAAUCCUUGUGGGCAAAAAUUAUGCAUAUGUAAAUGCUCUUUGCUUAAAUACAGAUGUGGAUGGAUGAACGUAUGUAGGUCAGCCUACCACCAUUUUUCCCUUUUCCUCUUGCUUUUUUUUUUCUUUACAGGAAAAUUACUUGUUUUAUUUCAUAAUAUAUUUGCAUGCUUUUCCAGCUAUAAACAUAGAGAAUUAAGUUCAUCUUUGACAAUAGUUGUCUCAUAAUUCAUGGUCAAAUAUGCUAUAUUUAGCCAUUUCAUUACUCACAGGCAUUUAGAUUCUUUCCAUUUGUUUUCUCUUGAAAUCAAUGCUGCAAUAAACAUCCCUAUGCACAAAA